rnacentral:rRNA from 1 species
GACGAACGCUGGCGGCGCGCUUAACACAUGCAAGUCGAACGGAAAGGCCUGCUUUCCCUUGUGGAUUGCGGGUACUCGAGUGGCGAACGGGUGAGUAACACGUGAGUGAUCUGCCCCCAACUUGGGUAUAAGCCUGGGAAACUGGGUCUAAUUCCCGAUAGGACUGCAGGGUGGUGCCUGUGGUGGAAAACGAUUUUCUAGUGGUUGGGGAUGAGCUCGCGGCCUAUCAGCUUGUUGGUGGGGUUAAUGGCCUACCAAGGCGGCGACGGGUAGCCGGCCUGAGAGGGUGGACGGCCACAUUGGGACUGAGAUACGGCCCAGACUCCUACGGGAGGCAGCAGUGGGGAAUAUUGCACAAUGGGCGGAAGCCUGAUGCAGCGACGCCGCGUGGGGGAUGACGGCCUUCGGGUUGUAAACUCCUUUCGACCGCGAGGAAGCCACCUGGUUGGAAGGGUGGUGACGGUAGUGGUAGAAGAAGCACCGGCUAACUACGUG